rnacentral:lncRNA from 1 species
AUGCCAUCCAGGUUCAAGCACACCAAAAUCAAAGUUGUAUACCUGAGGGACGCUGGUGGGGAAAUCAGUGUCAUGCCUGCCCUGACCCCUGAGAUCAACUCCAUGGACCUGUCUCCAAAUAAAUGUUGGUAAUGACAUUGCCAAGAAAGCUAGUGACUGGAAGACCCUAAGGAUUACAGUGAAAUGAACCAUUCAGAACAUGCAGGCCCAGAUUGAGGAUUCUGCCUCUGCACUAUCAUCAAAGUUCUCCAAGAAUCGCUCUGUGACAGAAAACAGCAAAAAAAACAGUAAGCAGAGUGGAAAUAUCAUUUUUGUUGCAAUUGUCAGCAUUUCCCAAUGCAGCACUGAUAUUUAGCUAGAGAACUCUCUGGAACCCUUAAAGAGCUCCUGGAGACUGCCCACCAACUGGUGGACUGCACUAUUGAUGGCUACCACACUCCGCAUCAUAGAUGACAUCAACAAUGGCAUAGUGGAAUGUCCAGCUAGUUAA